CCCUUCCUUGUUUAUCACCGCCUAUAUACACACACGUCGUCAGCUUACCCUGCGAAGACCCAAUAGUAAGCACAAUUGGCACAGCCCAAAACGUCAGGUCGAGGUGUAGCGUAUGGAAGGGGAAGAAAUGGGCUACAUUCCCUACCCCAGGGAACCACGAACGAUACUCUGAAAUAAGUAUCUAAAGGAGGAUUUAGCAGUAAGCAGAAAAUAGAGCGUUCCGCUGAAACCGGCCCUGAAGCGCGCACACACCGCCCGUCACUCUCCCCGAGCUUAAUAAACUCAACAAACAAAAACCCCAUAAUUGCAAAGGGGAGGCAAGUCGUAACAUGGUAAGUGUACCGGAAGGUGCACUUGGAAAAAU
rnacentral:rRNA from 1 species